rfam:Arthrobacter cupressi strain SW1 SW1_scaffold_8, whole genome shotgun sequence.
CGCGGUCCUCGGUAGUGAUCCCCGGGAACGUCCGUCAGUACGACGGCGGAGCCCGAGGGUCUCGAUCGAUGACCGGG